rnacentral:rRNA from 1 species
UACGAAGGGGGCUAGCGUUGCUCGGAAUCACUGGGCGUAAAGCGCACGUAGGCGGAUCUUUAAGUCAGGGGUGAAAUCCCAAGGCUCAACCUUGGAACUGCCUUUGAUACUGGGGAUCUCGAGUCCGGAAGAGGUGAGUGGAACUGCGAGUGUAGAGGUGAAAUUCGUAGAUAUUCGCAAGAACACCAGUGGCGAAGGCGGCUCACUGGUCCGGUACUGACGCUGAGGUGCGAAAGCGUGAGGAGCAAACAGG